AAUAAUUAAUUAUUUUUAUUAAAUUACUAUUAUUAUUUCGAUUACAAAUAGUUGGAGUCAAGUGCCAGCAACGAGUUGAAGAUUUGCUUCGGCUACAAAUACAUCAUGGAUGCCAUGUGGGGGUAAAUUUGAAAUUUACAUACACUUUCGAGACUGCAAUACUACAAGAAAAAUUGUAUUUAGAUGAACUAACUCAAUAUCAAAUUUUAUGGUUAAGAUUGUAUCACGGGCCUCACAAAGGUGCUGCUUGUGGGCAUAUAUACCCCAAGAUUUUCCAUAUUCUUUCCGAUGUGGGAUCAACGUACCUUAUCUAUUUUUUUAAAGCGUUUGACGUGACAUUCUUCCCACCCAAUCACUUUCCAUUCCUAAAAGAUAUAUCUAAUAGGAUUAAUCCACAUUGUCUACUUCCUUCAUCAUGGGCUCCUCUAUUACAAAUGGUCCACUCGGCCUACCCACUUGUUGGGGUGCUUCGCAUGAAAUCAAGCAGUCAAAAGUCGCCUACUCCCUUCAUAAUGGGUUCCAUCACAAUUGAUCAACUCAACCUAUCCAUCUGUUGGGGCGCCUUGCGUGUAAUCCAACAAUUAAUACGCCUUUAGAGAACAGGUUUUGAGUUUCACGAGAACCGACCUUCGAGGAUUGAGAGCCUCUAUCAUGUGAUAAAAUUGAGAUUAUGCAUGCUAGAUUUCGUGCAACAUAAUGUUUCAAUAAUCAGAGCGUAGCUCAUGAUUUGUAAAAUAAAAAUUAAUAUUUACUCCAACUCAAACAUAAAUCCUUGAGUUUAAAGUCAAAGAUCCUAAUAUUACGAGUUUUAGUUAUUAACUCCAAUUCAAACAACCACAAAUGCAGGAGAAAUUAUAAAAACUACUAUAUAUAUAAUUUUUUUCUUACGAAUUCCUUACAAAUUACCAUGUAUUAAUCUAAUCAAGGGAGAAAAUCCCAGCUAAAUUCUGAUGUUAAUUUUCCCACCCUAAACUAAAAUACCCUCUUUUUUUCCGAGAAAAUAAUUCUGAAAACUUUCAAACUUUACAAAAUCCUAAGUACAAAUGUACAUAUAUUUUUAUUUUUUUUAACAAAGAAAAAGAUUAAAUACCAGUGAAGGAAACCCUCCCAAAACCCCAAUGGCCAAUCUGAUACAGCUCUAACCAAACACUCUCGGCUUCAAAUCUGGCACCAAAUGUCCCCAUUUCUUCUUCUUCUUCUUCAAAUCCUGCUGGAAAUUCCCAGAUUUCCUGUUCUACCCUUACCCUCCCUCUGAAAUUCUCGUCACCUUCAUUAACAGUAGCACUAGUUUUCUUGCGUUUUCUCUUCAUUUUCCCGAACCCCAAACACCUCCUCCCCAUUUUCCACGGUAGCUUAAUCAAUGCAAGUGUCAAAAAGUUGAGCAAAGCACAAGGGCAACAACAGAUUGCGACACAAUCGGCGAUUACACCAGCGGUGCAUGAUCCACAAUACUUGCCUGAACACUCCAUCAAAUCCCCACCUUCUUUUUCUCCUUCAUCAAUGGCGCUCUUCUUUUUCCUUGCAGAUCUUCCUUUUCCUUUAUGUGAAUUCCCCUCCAUUUGAAUUUCUUCAAUCAUUUCUCUCUUUCUCUCUCUCUCUCUAAUAUCUGACGCAUUGAAUAUAAUCUGUACAAUGUUGAGAUGAAAGUUUUUAGAGCUUCAUAUUUUUUUAAAUGCUAUAAAGUUAUAUGUACAGUGAACUGAGUCCCCUCCCGCCUUCUUACAUGCAUUUUUAUCUCUGUAAUAAUUCAGCAACACUGGUAGAUAACCGGAAACCUCACGCGCAGAAGUGGGGGGUGAGGAUGAAGAACCAAUGAAGGUUUGACAUAGAUGGAGAGUGUGUGAGAAUUUGGAUUGGGCGCGUGGAAGUUUGAUAUGCAAUUUUUGUAAAGUUUUCUGAGAUUACCUAAACCUCCCUGUUUUUAGCAGGUUAACAACAAUGGAAAGUUUCUUAAAUUACAAUAAAAUGCCAACUUAUUUCCUUUUUUUUUUUAAAUAAAAUUUCCUUGUAACCAAGUUUGUCUUGUGAUUUAAAGCUUUUUUAGCUUAAAUAGUAAAAAUGGUAGAUAUAAUACUAUUAACGAAAAAAUAAUUAAAAUAUGAGCCCAAAAAUAAUUUAAAAAAUAUGUAACACGAACAGGAAAAUUAAAGAAAAAAAUUAAGGAAAAAAGAAGGAAGGCGUGGGGUGCUUGAAAAUGGAAAUGUGACUGAGACGAGACACCGGAGACAGUAAUACCCCGUUCAAUAAUAUUUUUCUUUCCAUUUCCUAUUACUACUGAUAACUAUCAUAAUAAAUUACAUAAAUAAAUAAGCAAAUGUCUGUCUCUUUCGACGUACCUAUUUUAGUUUUGAAACAAGGGUAAAAUUACCUCCCUGAUCACUUUAAAGUAAAGUCGGUUCAAUUUUGAUUAUUUUAAUUUUUUAAUUUAAUUACUUUAAAUAAAAUAAUCGUGUAAAUUAAUCAUUAAAAUUUUUAUUUUUUCUAACAGAAUACUAAUAUAACAUAUUAUCACAUUAAGUAAUUAACACAUGACAUUAAAUACAAAAUAAAUUUUAUUUAUUUAUGAACACUAUAUAUAUUAGACUUUUUCAUCUUCAAUAAUCACAUUAAAUUAUAAUUAAAUUUAUUAUUAGAUAAAUUCAACCAUUAACGUUAUAUUUUCUAUCAACAAAACUUAAAAGUUCACUUAAAAGAACGUAAAGUUCCGUGUCACUAGACCCACAACAUGGAUACUGUCCAUUAUUUCAUAUCGGAAUAAAGCAAUAUUUAAUUUUUUAUUAUUUUUUUAAACUUUGAUCCCAGCAAUGUUGUGAUACCAAAAUCUGAAAAAUGUUAAUAAGUUAUAGAAAUAAUAUAAACAAAAAAUGGAUUUAGUUUUUUUUCAACUCGAAGAAUUGUAAAUUUAGUUUUUGCUUGUCCAUAUUUAAUUUUUAAGAUUAAAUUUUAUUUAAAAUUAAAUUUUAAAAAUGCACUAAAAGAAUGCUAAAACAAAUUUGUUAUCAGUAUUUAUAUUAAAAACAAUACCAUAAAUAUAAUUUUAUUUUGUAUUAAAAACAAAAAUAAAUAUAUAAAUAUUUUAUUGUAUUAAAUAUAAUAUUUUGAGUUGAGUUAUUUAGUUGUGUAAUUUUUUUUUAGGUUUUGGGUAAUGAGUUUAAUUGUCAUUGGAUGAGUGAUUUAAUAUAAAUAUAAAUAUAUAUAAUUAUUAUUUAACAUAUAUAAUUAAUAUAAUAUUAUUUUAUAACAUAAUAUUUGGGCUGAGCUUGGGCCAAUAAAUUUUAUUGAAAGCCUGACCUAUAUAGAAAAAAAAACUUAAAAUUUUAUUAAAUCUAUUUUCCAAACUGGCCUUUAGGUUUGGGAGGGUGGUUCAACACAUGAGCAGGUUUACUCAAGAUAUGACGACGAUAUAUAUAUAUUAGAACAUUGAUCAUUAUUUAUGAUGAUAUUUAAGAAAAAUAUUAUUAAUAUAUUAUUUAUUUUUAUAAUUUAACAUAAAUAGUAUAUUAGGGUGUGUUUGAUAAAUUGAAAUUUUAAAUGCUAAAAAAUUAAGUACUAAAUUUUAUAAGUGCUAAAUUUAUAUUAAAAACCGAUUGGUAAAUUUAAAAAAUAUUUAGUUCUAAAUUUUAAUCUUACUAAUAUAAUAUUUUAUAUUAUUUUGAAUAGUUUUACAUGAAAAAUAAAUAUGAUAAUUUGAAUAUCUCAUUUUUUAUUUUUUAAUAAAAUAAAAUUAAUUUAAUAUUUUUUUACAUAAGUAGCUACCUACUUACCUAUUUUAUUCAACACUUUAUUGUUGAAAAUAUUAUAUUAAAAUAAUUAAAAUAAUUAUUGAAUAUAUUUAAAAUAUUAAAUGUUAAAAAAAUUAUUUUCAAUAAAAUGAACUUUAAUAAUUUAUCAAAUACAGUCUUCACUUUAAUGUUAUUUUAUUUAUCUUUAAUUAACGUUAUUGGAUUAAUUAAUCAAAUUCACAAAAUUAUUCUUCAUUUUCUUAACUUUUUUUUUAAAAUUAAAAUCAUAAAACAAACAAAGUAAUAAUGUUUGUGAUAUACUGAAAUUAUUUUGUAACUCUUAAAAAUCAAAUAAAAUCAAAUAUAUUUAAUAUUUUUACUUUUUCUUUUUUGAAAUGCCAACAUUUGUUUAAUGUUUUGUCAAUGAAAAAGGAAAUUUAAAAGACAGAAGAAAAACGUACAUGGUCUCUAUAAAAUCCAGCUAAUUUAAUAAUUAUUUUAGAAAUAUAUUCUUAUUGAACUCGAAAAGAAUAAUGCAUUUAUCAACUUUUCUUUCUAUAUUUAUCAUUUUUAAUCCAUGUCACUACAUGCUUAUUAACAAAUUUUCCCCUAAAAUUAUUGUAUUUUUUUAUUGUUUAUUUAACUCAUAAAAGAAAACGAAAGAUGAAUCGUUCACAAAAGAAAAUAAAAUAACAUUAAAAUUUUAAAAUAAUUAUUGUAAGUGUUAGAAGGAACCGUAGUUUACCAUUAAAAAACACAUUUAUUUGUAAAAGCAAAAAUAAUAAUUUUAGUAAAUAAAAGAAAACUGAAAUAGUAUUCAAAAAGUUAAAUAAUAUAAAUAACGUUUAAAUAUAAUAUGCCAAGUUAAAUAUAAUCAAAUUUGAUCGAAAAUUUUAAUUUAUAAAAUGAAAAAUCUAAUAAGAUACAAAUCACACUCGAGAUUUUCUUUUUUAUGCAUGAUGAUUGAUUUCAUGAUGAAAUAUAUAUUAAGUAAAAACAAAAACAUGAACUUACCUUUGGUUGGAUUAGCUGCUCCUGUUUUUAGCUUUCGAGGGGAAAUAAUGGUGACGAAUUUUCUUUUAAAAGAAAAGAAAAGCUUUUGAUGUGAUCUCAAAAUCAGAAUGAGCUUUUAAGCUCUUUGGUUUUCUAGCAUUUCCUCAACAUGAGAAUCAGAGCUCCACUCUCUCUCUCUCUUCCUGAAUUUCAGGUAUUUUUAAAAAGAUUAAAAAGGAAUGGUUAAUUUUAAGAAAGAUAAAAAAAAAAUUCCAUUUAACAAAUAAUAGGCAAAUUAAAUUGUCUCUAUGUCAUAUAUUAUAUUUUUAUUGAUAUUUUUUAAAAUUAUUUUUAAAAUUCGUAAUUAUUUUUUUAAUAAUAUUAUUUCUAAGUUUCGAAAUAUUAUCUCUAAUAUAUUAAUGCUCUAAAAACUCUUUCUAGAAAAUAGUGAAAGAAAUAUUGGAAAUAAGCAAUAAUGAAACUAUAAUGUUUUCAAUUAAUAUAUGCGUUAUGAUAGGAUGGGUUUUUUUUUUUUUUUAGAAGAAAGACAGUUACAUGAUUAAUUCAAUGCAUUUAACAUGUGUUACAAGAAUAAACAAGUUAAUAUAUAAUCAAAUGAUUCGGUUAUAUAAUUAUAUUGUGUUUGUUUAUUUUCUGACAUAUAUUAAAAAUAUUUUAUGUUAAUAUAGAUUUUGACAAUAUAAUAUUAGUUAAAAAUAUAUAAUUCGCAUUGUAUAAAAAAAUUGGUACUUUAAUGUAUUUAUAAUAAUUACUUAUUUUUUGGUCGUAUUAUAUUUAAUUAAUGUAAUUAUAUAAUAAGGGUCUUAUAUCCUUGAAUUAUUGAGUAAUAGUGGGGAAAGCGUAUAAUAAAAGAAUUUGAUAAGUCCCGAUGACAGCAAAUAUAGGGAAUUGUCCCACUUUUUUCACUCUUCUUUAUUUAAGCUAUUUCCCCACUUCUAACAGUUAUUACUUUUUUGCUUUUAGCGGAAUUGGGCAGGGCAGGUGGAGUACAAGUUAUGAUGGUCGGGUGAAUUGCUCAAGCUCAAAGCCUCGGAGGAUUGAAGUAAAAAUAUAUCUAAAAAAUAAGUUUGAAUAAAAAAAUAAUGUUUGAUUUUUACAUGUUCCUAGCCUUAAAUGAGAUUUUUGACUUGGGCUUGACUCACUUAAUUCGAAUCAGUUAAAAUUUUUUAUUCUUUUACUAUCUCAUUAUUAUUUUAUUGUUAUUUCGUUGUUAUUUUGUUGUCAUUUCAUUAUUAUAAAGUUAUUAUUUUGUUGUUAUCAUUUGAAUAUUAUAUAACUAUUGUUCUAUUGUUAAUUUUGUUACUAUUUAAGAGGUAAUUGGUUGCUAAGUUACAAUUAUUUUAGUGUUAUUUAAGUAAAAAAACUUUUUUUAAUAUGUUUUUAAUUUGCUGAGAAACAUUUAUUUUAAUGUUUUUAAUGUAUUAGAUGUAUUAUAUUUUUUAAAUUUGUUUUAAAUAAAAAAAUAAUCUUACUUUUUUUUUAAAUAUGGACAGGUCGUAUCAAGCUCAAAUUUAGCAUUUUUAAUCUAGUUCAAGUUUGGACAAAAUUUUAGGCCCAUUUUUCGACCCGAAUCAAUAUGGGCAGGUCUUAUUAAGCUCGAAUUUAGCAUUUUUAAUCUAGUUUAAAUUUAGACAAAAUUUUAGGCCUAUUUUUCGACCUGAAUCCGAGUCUGAAAAAUAAACUUGAAAUUUUAUAUCAAUCCAACCCAUGAUCAAGUCUACUGUAGAAUAUAUUAAAAUAUUAUUUAAUAAUUAUUUUGUAAGGUGGGCUUAAUUAAAUGAUGCACAUUCAUUUAAAUCUUGUUGUGAUUAUUUCAAGUGAUGUAACAUGUUUAUCGUAUCCAUUGCAUUUAAAUAAAAUUUAGUUUAAGUUAAAGUAAAUUGUGAGGCUAACGUGACAUAUUAUUUAAAAAUUUAUUUAAGUUAGGUGUAAUAAUAAGAUAUAUUACACUUUUGAAAAGAGAAUCAUAUUCAAGUUUUAAAGAUGACUUUGUUAGGAAGGAUAACUACGAACUUUGAAUAUCAACCAUAAAAUGAACAUAUAAAAUAAAAAAAUAAUAGUUUUUUUAUCAUAAUUUUAAACCGGGAUGGUGGAUGCAUGUAAAAAUCACGAGGAGGAUCGCUCAAUUCCUCAAGCCUAGAUGGAGAAUCUGGUGUCUUCGGAUGAUGCUAGCUAACUGGUUUAGAGAGUUUGUUUGGGGGAGAAGUGUUCUAGCUAUGGUUUUCUAUUUCUACUUUCAUUGUUUGUUUUCUUUCUCUAGGAUAUUUUUUCAUUUUGUUCUUUUGAAGACAAAAGUCAACGUUGCAAAAACACAUUUCUAACCAUUUUCGCCAGAGAAACUCCAUAAAAUCCAGCAUCAUGCAGAAACACCAGAUUCCUCAUCAUAAGUCUACUGGAUGAUCAUAGCAGUUUUAAGUAACGUUUUGAUUUUUUGUCCCACAGACAUAAUUUUUCAGCAUUAAAAUCAUCUUAAAUAACACAUCUUAAUUAUCCAAAACUAUUGAAAAUUCAAUAUACAAAAAUUGAAAGCAAAGCAAUUUGAAAAUAUAUUUCUUGAAAUUCAAUUUUACGAUUUCAUAAUUUUCUAGCAACUUUCCCAUUAAUUUAUUUUUUGGUAAAUUAUACCAUUAGUCACUAAAUUAAGAGUAAAUUCUUAUUUUCGUAACUUAACUAAAAAAAGUUACAAUUUGGUCAUUGAACUAUUAAAUGUUUUCAUUUAAGUCACUGAACUAUUUAAAAUUUCAUUUAAGUCAUUGGGCUAUUAAGUUUUUUUUUUUUUUUAAGUUUCGCCAUCAGGCUCCAAGUGAUGAUCUAAGUCAAUCUGACAAUUAGUGCCGGAAAUUGAAGAAAAAAUUAUUUGAAUUUUAGUUCGCAGAUUUAUGACAUCUAAAGUUGUUUCAUAAAAAAGUAACUGUAAAAUAUAGGAGAAAGAGAGCUUUCGAUUGGUGCAGACAAUGCAAAUAAAGAAAGACAUAGCUAUCGAUUUUAACAGUCCAGUGACUUGAACGAAAACUUUUGAAUAAUUUAUUGAUCAAAUUUUUAAUUUUUUUAAUUAAAUGACCAAAACAAAAAAUUUAUCCAUAAUUUAGUAACUAAUGGUAUAGUUUAUCAAACAACUUUGACUAAAAAAAUAUUAUAAAAGUAUCUUCCAACCCAAAAAGUCCAUUUUGAACAAAAAAAAUCAAAAAGGCCAUUAAAAAAACUUAUAAAAUUCAUCUCUAAAUUCUUCUCGAAUUAAACGGUUAAAACUUAAAACCCUAAGGUAAUGUUUCCUUCAAUAAAAUACCUUAUUUAGGUGUAUUCCAUCCCGGGCUUAUGCUGUGAAAUUUGUUUAUUUCUAUUUUCUCUCCUUUCCACCCAUUAUUGAUUCGGUGUUUGAAGAACUCUAUUCUAUUACAGUGAACUAAACGUAUCCUAAAUCUCUCAUUGACGGUAUCAAUCCCCCCACUGCACUUUUUCUUUGUUUCAUUUUUUUUUUCAUUUAAGGUAAACAAAAGAGAAAGAAAGAAAGAAAUUAAUGAUACGAAGGCAAGAUGAAGAAUGCUUUUUUAUAAUUUCUGCUACCCCUUUUCUUUGAGCAGAGGCAGCAAACUCUCUGAUUCUUUUGAAUUCUCUCAAUUUCCUUUUUUGGGGUUCCUUUUGCACUGGGAUUUUCUUUUUUAGUUUUUAAUACUAUUCGAUUUUUAAUUUCUUUUUAAUUAUUAAGAAAGGUAAUAUACAUCUUCUUAUGUGGACAACUUGUCAGCUCAGCUUCAUACCUUACAAUGACUGAAAAAAUUGGCCAUAUUAAUCUGUAGCACAGUUUGCCUCCCGUCAGAUCUGUCUAAAUUGUAUGUUUUAUUGUCGAUUGCACAGCUUCCCUAUACUACGAAUCACCCCCAACGCAAUUCAAGCUUUCAGAGAAGAAUUGAUACAUGUUAUAAUGGGCAAUUAGUCUCAACAAUGACCUGUCGAAAACCAGCAGAUCAGGCAACCAGCAGCCCCUCUCUAAUAGCAUGUAAUUUCGCCUGCAGCAUCGAGCUCAUCCCCAAAUACCCGCUGAAUCCCGUAAACUAGUUACCACGGUGAUCCAGUAUGAGAUGCUUCAUUCGAAAUCGGGUAUAUCACUCCAUCACAAUUGAGCUUAACCCAUCCAAUAUCUGGAGCUAGCAAGUGAGCAUUCAAACCCAAACUGUCAGCACCAACAUACGUAUAAUGGUCUGCAUUCAAAACAUCUGUGGACAAAGCACUACAAUAAGAAAUAAUUUCCUCAGGCAACACGUUCUCUUCAGUAAAAACCAAUUUGUUACGAGUAUGCCAUAGACACCAAGCCAACAUACUUAAGAGUAAGCUCCAUUCCAAACCAGGCGUCACAAUGUUAAGGCAAUUUCGAAUGUUGCCAACUAUCCAAUCAGUAGACCUCGAUGCAGGAAAGCCGGCCACGCAAUGCGCAAGACCCGAAAUCUAAUAGCCUAUGCAAACUCAGUCACGUAAAACGUGCAAUAUCAUUUCUAACUCGCAACCAUAAGCCGGACAAGUUGGAUCCCAUGCAACACUUCUUUUUAAACAUUCUACAUUGAUUAGCCAUAAAAGUUGUCUGACACGUUUAACACCCUUAAACAUUAAUCAUUGACAACAAAUUUUAUAUUCCUACUAAAUGAAUAUUUUCUUUAAAAUGUCCAACCACCAAAUUUAACACAGUUAAUAAUUAAUUUUAAAUUUUAAAUUUUAAAAAGGACUUAAUUCAUAAAAAUAAAAGUAUAGAAUUUAAGUUCUAAAUUUGUGAAGAGUACUAAAAUUUAUAAUAAAUUUUAACCUUCUCAAAAAGUAUGUAUUUUUAAAAAGUUAAAUUAAUUUUUUAAGCUAUACAACAAAAACUUUGAUUUUUUUUUAAUAUUAAUUUCAUUAUAAGUUCUUAUAAAUCUACUAUUUUUUGAUAUAAUGCAUAACCCCUUUCUAACCUUUAAAUAGGAAAAUAUUAUAUUUCAGCACACUCGAAUCCACGACCUCUUGCACUAACAACAAUACCGAUGCUAAUCAAGCUAAAAUUUAAAAUUUAAUUUUUAAAUUGACUCAUUUUAAUUUUUUGGUUUUCAACUUUUUAAAAGUAAAUUUUAUUCAGCCAUUUUCAAAAUCCUUGUUUCAAUAAAAGAUUCUAAAUCUUUAUUACCAUCAAACCUUAGAUUAGAUUUAAGCCUCUCUUGCCCCUACCUUUGAUAUAUUUUUUUAUCAAGUUAUUUUUUUUAUUAAAUAAACGAUAUUGAGUGAUUUCAAAGAACUUUUUUCUUAAAUCUUAAUCACCAUCAAAAUUUAAAGGUAACAUUUUAUCAAAUUUUGAAUUGAACAUUCAUUUGCUUAGCUUAAAAAUUAGGUCAUAUAUAUAAAUAGACUCAACAACACAUGUUACGCCCACAGUUAACUGAGAUUACCUUCAAACUGUUAAUCUAAUAUUAAACCAAUAAGCUUUUCUUUAAAAUCAUUCAUCUCUAGGACAAAUAUAUGUGUGUGCAAAGUGUGUGCAUAUAUAUCAGAGAGGGAGAGCGAGAAAGAUCGUAAUUAUAUUACAAUAUGGUGUCAAUAAAUACAACAAAGUCAACUGAGAUCCAAGCAAUGGCAAGCAACUGAGAUCCAGCUUAAGAUACUGCCAUGGAUAUGGUGUACACUAACGGGUAAAAAAACACAAACAAAUACACUUCUAUUUACCUAAAGAAAAAAAAAAUAUGAACCCUAACAACGAUGAAGAAAUUAUCUGGCAAUUUAAGUAUCAAACAUCUUCACCAUUGUUUCACCUUCACUCUUUGUUGUUGGCCAAUGCAUUUAAUUGUUUCUCUAACUGCAAGGUCACACCACAACGUAAAAUUAACCUGGUUGUCAGACAAUGGACAAAAAAGAACAAAUCUAAUUUGCAAGCAAGACAAGUGAUUGCGAACUCCUGUGAUUGGCUGACCAAGGGGAGUUCACCCCAUAGAACCCCACUCGAGUUUGAGUCUCUUGGGGAGCAAGUGGUAUUAUUUAGGCAGCCCCCUUUGGAAAUAAUGUGUGCAUGUAUGGUAUGGUUAUGUCUCUAAAGAUGUAUUCGAUCUGAGUAGUCCAAGAAAAAUGAAGAGUCGUUCCAACAUAGAUGCAUGAAAUAUAAAUAUCCUCAGAAUUCAAGAAUAAUGCACAAAUAUAUAUUCAAUAAUAACGCACAAACCUGAGCGUUCUUCAUUUUCUGCCUCUGCAAUUCCUCAACUAGGUUCCCGAUACUGACAACAUAAAUAAAGUUUCAGUAAAAUGUACAUGAUAAAGAAAGGAAGUCUGCACUGUUUUGCGUUUCACCUCUUACCUCUGUUGCAGUUGAAGCACCCGAAAUUGCAGUUCUUUCUCCCUCGGAGAAGAGUGCGCUAUCUGCAUGUACAAUUAGUUAAAUCAUUCACUAAAAUCUUUUAACGAAGUAUAGGCCUAUAUGACAAAGUUUGUCUCAACAUGAGAUAUCCAACAUUGGGAUAAACCAGAAACACUUAAAAAGAAAGCAUAAAUAGAAAGGGUAACUGACACCAUGGAAUAUUCCAUCAAGAAGGUCAUAUGACUACAGAGAAGUUAGGAUUGAUACCUGCAAAAGGUCAUUGAUGCCCACUUCUGUAAAAUCCCCAAGCUUACCUGUACAAGGAAGAGAAGGCAAAUUUAACAUCAAAUAAUUUCUUGUGGUCAUGCAGCAGAAAAGCUUAGAGGCUUUACCAGAAGUUUGCUCCAAAUGUUUGAUCAGUCUAACAAUUUCUUCCUGUUGGCAAUCAUCAAAAACAGAACUUGUUUCAAGACUGGCAAUCUCUAUGACAUGAGAUAGGACAUGCAAAAACAAACGUACCCUUUGUAUGGUGUUCUGCUGCAAAAUGCAUUGUAGAGAUGGGAGAACAGCACUAGGUGAAAGGUUUAGAGAUGCUGGAUUGGUUGAACCUCUGGUAACCGGGUUAAGUAUGCAGUUUGUAGGUCCCUGAAUGAGAGAAAAUAAUGGCAAUGGUUACAAAGCCAUUGCCUAAAAGAUAAAUUGAUAAGUUCAAUUCCUAUCAUUCUUCAACGGUGAAACAUGAGAUAAUAUAGACAGUCAUAUAUGACAGUUUGUACGCUGAAAUGAGGAAGUAAAAGCCAAAAUGUUUUCAUGGAUAAAAAUCCAGAUAUUAGAGGAUAAACUUAACAUACAUGACAUCUAACACGAAAAAUACGUUUGAAAUUAGGAUGGAUGCAUCAAGCAGAUGAAAUGCAUAAUCAAUUACAACCACAUGUAAAGAAACCAAAAAGAUAUGAAACCAAAGCAUUCAGUGGAACCACUUAGAAUAUAGCCCUUUAGCAGAAGUGUAAUUUACUUGGUGUGGGGUUCAUAAGUAAUAGCUGACAGCAUAUGUGUAUGUCAUUUUUUUUUUCAAAAUAAAAGAAAGAAAAAAAAUUGAUGUAUGUCAUUCUGUUGACGCAGCAUUUACAUGAUGCCUAACAAAUGGUGUCCAACUAUGCAGAUAUUUAUCGUUACAGAUAAAUUACACAGUAAUAUAUUAUAACAAACAGGAAUAUAUAAUAUACACACACCAUAUUUGCAGCAAUUCCUAGCAGCAAAAAGAUGCAUGUAAUUGCAUGACAUCAAAAGACAGUACCCAAUAGGUUGCAAAGUUUCUUUGAAUGGAUGAGGUAAACAUAUCAUUAUAUUGCAAAUGUACCUUGGGACUGAGUUCGGCUGAAGUCACUUUAAAGCGCCCCCGCCGAACAACUGCUCCCUCUGAUGCAUCCUCUGAAUAAAGGGCCAAAGAAAUCAAACCGAGGUCAAUAGAGUACAAACAAGUAGCAUCACUUCUAAGUAGAAAUAGAAGAAAAAACCAGGAAAUACCUGGCGAAGGACUAUUUGUUUCUCUCUUCUGGCGAUACAACAACGGACCACUGUAGUUGUGUUCAGAUUGAAAUUUGGGCUGUGGAAAGUCCCUUCAAAACAUUUUUGGUAAACCCAAUUUAAUAUAGAUUUAUGAAUCACUUUUUCCAGUUAAAGUAAACGGCAAUGAUAAAAGCAACAAUAUUCCUUUUUAAUUACAGAACAGCAGAGUCAACGACCAAGUCAAGAAGACAGUCCCUAUGUCAUGUGUAGCAGAUCAUACAUCUAGGACUUCUCUUCAACUCGAAAUCCACAGAAUAUAGAAACUCAUCAUAUCAGAGCUUGAUAAUGGGAAAACAAUCUUCCUAAAUAUAUAUUUAGAAAAGUCACUUCAGUUAUUUUAUCAUGUUUGGUGAUAACAGCUUUGCAGCUAGGGAUAACUUCGCUUGGAUGAAGCUUACCUGUCCCCAUUUCCUGUAACCUUUUUAGGAGAUAAGGCAUUAUCAGGUAUUAGUGGACCGCUCAAGAACUUUUUGUGCUCUGGAAUGACUUGAUGAAGUAACGAGCUACUUUGCCCGGAGUUCUCACCCUCGUUUCUACUAGCAUCUUGCUCCAUAGCUCUUGAUGACUUUAUAACAAAUGGCUCACUUCCUGAUUGGUUAACACCUUUCCGAUUCGGACUGUUUACAUCCUCAUCAUCUUCACCAAUGUCAAAACAGCCUCUGAACCAAUUAAAUAGUUGCAUGAAUAAAAAAAGAAGCUAAAUUACCAAAAACAAUUCGACUGCCAACCUUUCUUUCUCCAAAAUAGUAAUUAGCUGAAGAGAUGCGAUAAAUGUUUUUAAAAAAUAGAAAGAAGAUACCAUUAAAAACCACAUAACUUAAAAGAUGAAGGAUUAAAUUUGUGAGAACUUACUGCUUUCUGCAUUAAAAAAUAAAACACCUACAAUUCACAAUCUCUUUGAACAUAACAAAUGUGAAUAAUGAUAGCAUACUAAAUAUGUUAUAACAAUGAAUUCUUUGCAAUAGAAAGUCAAGCAAGCAUAAAAAUGUCAUACUUGAGUGCUUGAAGAGGUUUAAUGGGAAACGAAGCAAGGGAACUCUUCAGAUCAUGAAGAUCAUUAAGCCCAUCCUGAAACAAGUUAAAGGAGGAUAUUAAUCUUGAAGUACCAGCUUAAUCGUUAGGUCUGAAAGUUCAAUUACAGUGAAAUAAUUUGGGGUUACUGGUACCUCCUGGCUACUUGAAGCAAUGGAAUUACUAGCCAUUUCAGAAGACAUUCUCUCUGGUGAUAAUCCAACAACACCAUUGCUGUUUCUUUGAUUCCUGCUGCCAUCUCGAUCUUCUGCAUUUGGCACAUCAUCAUAAUCAUGAAUCUGCAAGUAAAACAGUCAGCAUUUCUGAUGAGAUAAAAAUAAUAGAGCAGGUCUUGGAGUACAUCCACAUAAAUAAUGUUACGCAUCCAACCUAAAACCAACUGGCAAAAGAUGGGAGGGGCACAACAUAAGGAUAGAACCAUAGGAAGCCCAAGACUCAAGAGAUGCAGGUUAACACCACUGAACAAAUAAUAAGUUGAGCUGGACAAUUGAAACUACUUACAAGUGCAGCCUGACUUUUCAAGUCCUCCAGGUUGAAAUUCCAGGCACUAAUUCCUCUUAUAUACUCUUUCUGCAAGGUGAAAGGAUUCAUAUUUAAAGUGAUACCAUGUAGUCAUAAAUUUUUUAUAUACCAUGGUUAUUCAUUAGUGAAAGAAAACUAGCUACAAUAGGAAUUGAUAGCAAUUGGAUUAAUCAAAACACAACCUAAAAUUACUAGUAAGAUUUGAAGGAAAGAACCUAGCACUACUUUUUGUUGAGAAAUGUAAAAGAGCUACAUUAUUCACCUGUGAUAAUUGCUCCUUGUCCUCAUAGAGAGCCUUGUUCUCUACAAGAAGAUCAGCUUCUUUUGUCUGAGACAUAAAAACCAGAUCAGAGUGUCGCAUUUAUUCCCCAUCUCAAACAGAGAUCACAAAUUCAAUAAAAACAGUAAGCAAGAGACCUUUAGCACCCUAAACCGUUCACCUAAUGAAGCAAAACCAUCAAGAAUGGUUCGAGCUAGAUAAUCAUAAGAGCGUGCAUUUUUAAAGAACUGGUGCUUCAAAAGCUUAUCCGAAGUCGGACGUUUCUUUGGGUCUUUCACCAAGCAAGCAGCUACCAUCUCCUUGAAAGACUAGAGAAUAAUAACACUAUUAGAACGAUGCUGUAGAUACCAUCAAGUGAUACUAGACAGUAAGACAGAAUAGAACAGCACAAACCUUUGAGAACCUCUUGUCCCUUUCAUAAUCUAGACCAGGAGGAGCAUUUUGCAAGGUCAUUAACAAAACCUGCGGCAAAAAUGGGAGUAAACAAUCAAACCAAGAACUAAAAAUAAAGGCAACAGCAAGAUAAAUACAAAAAUAAACUGAUAUAACUAUCAGAAAACCAAGAGAUUACUUUCAUCGGUGGAUACUUCGAAAAUGGGGCAUGGCCAUGAGCAAGUUCGAGUGCUGUUAUUCCAAAAGACCAGAUGUCGGCUCUGUAAGCGGGAAAGAACAAGAAACAUAAUGAUUCAAAAGGUAUAAAAGCAAAAGAAUGAAAGGAAAUGAAAUGAAAAGAAAAGUAAAUAUCUGUAUCAGCGAGAUAAUCAACUCACUUGAAGUCAUAACCAUGCAAUUGCUGCAUAACUUCUGGAGCCAUCCUGAUAUAGAGCAACAAUAAGGAGACACAUUAUGGUCAUUAUCAACUCUCAAAAAUUGAAUUUACAUGAUAGAAGUACCGAUAUAAAGUAAACACUGAGAUGUUGGAAGGCCAAGGGAACAAAUACCAGCAAGGAGUUCCAACAAAAGUAUUUCUGGAACGCUGUCUGUCUCCAGCAUCAAACAUGCUUGCUGACACUCCAAAGUCUGCCAACUUGACAGAACCAUCAGAAUCAAUUAAGAUAUUCCCAGCCUGCAAACAUAAGUCAUGAACGUAGAUAAGAAUAAAGACAAAAAUCCCCAAAAUGAGGGUAAAAAGAAUUAGGACAAAAUAUCAGGCAGUAAGCUGUUGGCAUAUUGCCAAAGAAACAAGAAAAAGUCAUAAUGAACUACUAGACUAAGAGAAUAUUAGCAUAAAGUUUGUGUGCGGAACAAAGCUAUAUUUCCAGCAUUUAUCAUAUAUAGUUAAUUACAUUAUAAGAAGAACUAUAAGUUUCUUCAUGUGAUUGUUACAAAAUAUAGCUGGAGCAAUAUCUUACAGAUGAGACAGUCAAUAACUAAUCAGCUUGGCCCCUGAAAACAAACUAGUUGCAUAAAUAAACAAGAAAACACAUGGCAUACAAAUAAAACAAGAAAGGGCAAUUAAAAACCUUCACGUCUCUGUGAAUGUGCCCAUGGGCAUGAAGAUAAACAAGAGCUUUAAGGACUUCACGCAAUAAAGUAGCAAUAACAGGCUCUUCAAAACCUUCUGGAUAAGCGGAUUUCAUUAUAUGCAAGCAGGAUCCCCCAGCCAUGUAUGGCAUCACAAUCCAAAGGCUGUGACCAGUGGUGAACGAGCAAAGUGCCCAUAGUAAAUUUGGGUGAUCAAUCAAGCUCAUGGUCUGUACCUCUCUUCGGAUGCCAUCCUGCAUCAUUCACAACUGUUGAUGUGACGGAGUUGCUGGGACUCAUAAGAGAAGGUACAAGUAAACAUGACUUCUCAGCAACAAACUGUGAAAGAUCAUACUUACCAGAUCACUAUUGCACUUUUCCAAAUCAAGAACCUUGAUAGCAACAAUCUCAUUAAGUGGAAUGCAUAAAGCCCUGUACACAGUGGCACUGACACCUUCUCCAAUUUCUUCAUAUAACUUGUAAUCUUUUGGAUUGACUGGAUAUCGUUUCUCCAAAGUAUGCUCCAUGGUUCCCUUUUACUGCAUACUAUUGCCACUCUCUUUACUUCUAGAUGUUCCGAUUAACAAAGGCACACUUUUAGCUAAAGAUUGGACUGUCAUUCUAAUGCGGGACUUCUUCCAAUUUGGUAGCAUCUUCUCUUUUUUUAAUGCACAAGAGUAUACAAGUAAACUGACUUCAUCAAGGUCCCAGACCUUUUCCUUGCGUGCAGAUACAGUUUAAACUUUAAACCUCAAAAUCCUAGCUAACAACAGAGAAGAUAUUGCAUUACACCAGGUAUCCAGCGAUUGAACUAUUGGAACUAGCAGUGGACUGUCAACCAAGAGCAGUCAACAAAGCUUACAAUAACAGUCAUUUACCCCAGACGACCGAAAGAAGCCUAAACGUUAGCAAAUGUUGUAUGGCACAAAACUAAUAAAUGCACUCGAAAACUAAGAAAAAUUUGCGCAAACUAACCAAGAAACAAAAUAAAUAGAGCUAACAAGAAGCCUGUUACAAGAAAGGUGAUAUCAGGUAUUUUUAACCUAUACAAAACCAAGAAAAAAGUAUUAUUUCUUACUUUUAAAAAAACACAAAUUUCUUUUCGAAACAAUUAAAACAAAUACAAAAAAGAAAAGCGAAGCAAAAGUUUAAGUAAAAUGUAUUAGAGGCUCUUGAAACAUGAAUAACAAAACAAAAAUUGGAAAAAAAAAGAAAAGAAAAAGAAAACAGACUGAUUAAUAUCUUUCAAUUCUUUUAGCUUCUGUAUAGCAAUCUAGAUUCAACUUUAUUUUUAAAAAAUCAAUAAAAAGGCGUUUUCUUUUAUAUAAUUCUUAUUUAAUUAAAAAAUAAACUUAAAGACAGUCUUAAUUCUAAGUAAAUUAACUAUGAUAUAACAUAACAUUCAUGAAAUCGCUUCAAAGUUUCCAUAAUUCCUCAACAAAACAACUAAAACUAUAGUCAAAUUUCACGAAUUCCAAACAACCUCCGAAGAAACAAAAAAUAAUAACAAAAAACUUCAUGAUUAAAAAAAGAAGCUAAAAUUACCAUAGAUUUAUACAAACCUGGUAUUUCAGUGGAAUGAAAUCAAAGCUGAAUCUGAAAAUCUGAUAGCCCCACCUCCUCCUCCAAACCACUUCACGAGACUUUGUUUAAACGCUUCUUCAGUUUCAAAUUUCGAUUUUUUUGUUGAAGACAGAUUCUAAAGAUGACAAAUAGCGAUGAUAAUAAUUGGCGGACAGAUAUUAUAAUAAUCAAAUAAAAAAUUCCAGUCGAGUUUCAGGUCCUUGGAUCAAAUCUUACAACUUCCGCAGUUUGCAAAUAAAAUACUCUUUUUUUUGAAGCUUUGGUUUUAGCAAAGUAAAAUGAGGAUGGAAAAGUAAAAUAUAUAUAUAGUUGAAAGUGAGAAGAGAUUUUUAUGAGUUAUCUUAUCUUCUCUUCCUUUAGUAGGUGAAAAUAUCGUAUCUUCUUUAGCUUAUUAACAUACGUUGAUGGACAGUAAUAAAUUAAAUUGCGGAAAUUUUGGCGCAUUCAUGUGAAAUAAUAUUUUUUAUUUAGUAAUCUUUUCAUAUUUUAAUUAUUUUAUUUUUACUCUAAAUCAUGUCAUGAAAUCUUAUCGUGUCUUAAUUAAAUUUAUUAUGUUUCCUUUCAUCCUAAUUCUUAACUUUCAAAAGUAAGAUUGAAGUAUCAUUUUAUUCUCUUUCUUAAUGAUAUAAAAUUAAAUUUUUACUUUUUUGAGUUGAAAAUAUGUGUAUUAAUAAUUAGGGUAAAGUAUCAAAAUAGUUAUUUUUGUUUUUCUUAGACUAUAUUUUAGUCAUUUAUAUUUGAAAUAUUACGUUUUAGUCAUUUAUAUUGACGUGUUGUAACAUUUUAGUCAUUAAGUUGUUAAUUGUCAUUAACGUUAUAACGAUAAGCUGACGUAGCACGUUAAAUAAUCAUUUCAAAUAAAAAUCUUAAGUUAAACUAUUCAAUUAGUCUCCAUCUUUUUUUUUGUUUUGAGUAAUUUUUUUUCUUUUAUGUUCUUUUUAACUCUUUUUUUUUAUUUUCUUCUGCUUCUCCCUCUAUUUUCCUUCAUUCUCCAUAUCUUUCAACGUAAAAGAAAAAAAUUAAAUUGCUUAAAACAAAAAUAUAAAUAUAGGGGCCAAUUGUAUAAUUUAAUCUAAAAUUUUAUUUGAAAUGAUGAUUUAAUCUGUCAUGUCAACUUACCGUUAUACCGUUAAUGUUAUAACAUAAUAACAUAAGAGACUAAAACGUAUCAUUUUAAAUAUAAGUGAUUAAAAUGUAACCUGAGAAAAAUAAAAUUGACUACUUUGUAUUUUACCCUAAUAAUUAUUAUGGUUUGCCAAUUGAGUCUUAAUUCGAUUAGCAUAAGCAUUAUUGUCAAUGGAGGAAGAUAUGGAUUCGAGUGCGCUGAUGUGUAUUCCUAUUUAUAGAUUGAGGAGAGCUAUGCUUAAUUCUAAACAUUGUCUCAAAAAUAACAGAUAUGAUCAAAUCUUAUAAAAUAUAUUCAAAAAAUAAUAAUUAUCCCUAGGGAUUAGAGUUUUUUCUUUCUUUCUUUAUAUGAUAAAAUUCAAGAAAUACAUAUUUUCAUCUUCAACAUCCAAAUCAUAAUUUUAGUACAAAAUUUUCUGUUGGAUCAUAAAGCAAAGAGAUAUCAUUGAAUAAAAACAUUUUUCCAGUUUUGUUUUCAUUUUUUAAUUACCAUUUUAACAAAAAAAAUUCAAAUUGAUCCUUUUCAAUAUAUAUAUAUUGCCAUUUUCACGCCCAAGAGGGCUUCAAUAAUUCCGUUGAACUAUAAAUAAUUGGCAUAGAAAUACAAUCUCAGCUCAUAUUUCAUUGCUUGAAGUUAGUUUGCUAUUUAAACUUUUUAGUCACAAAAAUUGUUCAUUUCUUCAAUCUUAUAUACCUUUCAAAAUAGGAAAAUAAAAAGGGUAAAUUGUACAAAUGGUCACCCAACAUGCCCAUGUUCUUGUUUUGGUCAUUCAAUUUUAAAAUAUUCAAUUUAGGCACUAAAUUUUGUAUUCAUUUCUAUUUUUCUAACUGGUAUAAUAACAUAUUUAGUCCUCAAUACUUACAUAUCUAUAAAUUUGGUCCUAAUUCUAAAUAAUUAAAUAAAUUUAACCCUUGACAUUUAUAAAUUCCAUUAAUUUAAUCCUCAAACUUCCUAACGAAAGCUUUUAACUUUAAAAUUUGAAGCAAUCCACAUCUAUAAAUUUAUAAAACUCAAAAAAGAAAAAAAAACCUUCUCCAAUUGUGCAAAUCUCCAUCACUCAACUUUUUAACAAUACCUCUUAUUAAUGAAGAAUUUUGGGGAAUGGCAUAUUUUUUCUUUAAAAUUUUAUAAUCUAAAAUUAUUCAACAGCAAAUUAUAAUAAUAAGCAUAAAUAAAUAAUCGUAAAAGGUAAGUUACAAAGUCUCCGCCACACAACAUUAAAUUAAGGUAAUUAAGUUUUUUUUUAUUUCAAUACAAUUAAUCUUAAUUUGAAAUUUAAUUUUUCAUUUAUGGUUUUUGAAUAUUAGAUUUGAGAUAAUAAUAAAAAAAAGAGUACAGAUAGUAAAUUAAAGAUUAGUAUCGACUUUAGUAUUUCCACAAGUAAAAUAAAAAAAGAUAAUUAUAUAAAUAUAUUUAAUAUAAUAAAAAAAUAAAAGUAAAUUAAACAUGCGAUAGAUUUUUAAACCUCAAUUAUAAAAAUUAAACUUUCACUAUCCAUAUAUGUGAUGAUAAUCCCUGAAUCAAACAAAAUUCUUUUGAUUAGCAUAUUUGGUAGAAUUGAAGAAGUUUUUCUUUUCUUUUUGGAUUUUACAAAUUUAUAGACAUGGAAUGCUUAUAUCUUAUAAGCUGAAAAUUUUAGUUAAGAAAUUUAAAGAUCAAAUUGAUAGAAUAUGUAAGAAUUUGAAGACUAAAUGUGUUAUUAUACCAGUUAAAAAAAUAUCACACUAUUACUUUUAAUAUCAAUUUAAAGGUGGGUAAUCAAAAUAAGAACAAGUAUUUAGUGCCUAAAUUAAAUAUUUUUAAAGUUAGAUGAUAAAAAUAGAAAUACAGAUAUAAUUGAGUAACCAUUUGUAUAAUUUACCAAAAAAAUCAAUAAUUCUAUUUCAAAAAACUAAAAUAUGAAAUUUUUAUUCAGAAUGUCACUAUUAUUUCACAUGCUUCAUCAUCAAACUUUUUUCUUUAAAAAAGAAAAAAAUAGUUUAUUAAUCACAGGAAUCUUCAUUUCAAGGCUAAAAAGGUGGUUGUUUGAUAUUUUUCUUCUCUAUAAGAACUCUAGGCUUACCAUAUAUAUCACGUUAUUAACCUAUCAAACGACGAGAUUAUCCUUUUAGAUUUGGUUUCUAAUUUCUAUGGGUGUGGCCAAGCCACUAGAUUCAACUUUUGUAUAUUUCACUGAUUUAAAUUACUGUCUAGUAAUAAUAAUAAAAAUAUUUAAAAUUAAUUAAGAAAUAUAAAAAUAUAUUUUAUUUUAUUAAAUUUUAAAUAACAGUACUUACCAUCAUUAGAACUUAAAAGGAAAUCGAAAAAAAGAAAAGAAAUUCAAAUCAGAUUAAUUUACCAAAUUUUAUCCAUGCAUUUAAAUUGGUUGCCAUUGUCGUUUAGUGCAGUUUUUCUAAAAUUUACCAAAGUUCAUACGUGCAAUUAUCCGAGGAAGGUUUUAUUUUAUGGAUGCCAGCAAAUCAAAUAUUUAUAUUUUCUCUACGACUGGAAUCUGAAAAUAAAUUUAAAUAUUAUUAUCUAAAUUUGAAUUUAAAUUAAUUUAAUUAUUCGUUAAAUAUUCGGAUCCUUUGAUAAAUAUAAAGAUAUUAUUCAUAUGCAAUCUGAAUAGAAAUUUAAAUAUUAUCCGAAAUUACAUUAUUCAUUCCUAUCCUUAAUUUGUAAAUAUUUAAAUCUUAAAUCUGAUAUCAAUAAUAACUUAGGCAAAACAAAUUAUUUUAAUACUAUUCUUUAUAAAAAAAAUGUCUCAUUAAAAAACAUACAGUGAAAAAAGAAUACACCUUACCCAUUCAUUCAUCAAAAUAAACAAUGAAAUUCGGUGAACGAUUCCACCGCAUCGAAUAAUCAACACUUAAGAGAAGCAAAAUCGGCGCGAAACUAUAAAGAACGUAGAAUUAUAACAGUUCAACAUAACGCAAUUUAAGGUUUAAAUAGGGGAAAAUAUUAAGUAGAUAUGAGUUUUACUUGUUAGUCCUUACACCAAUUGAGUUUAUAACUAGAGAUUUUUUUUUUUUUUUGCUUUAUAAUGUUAGAAUUGUUAGUGUAUUUUAAUCACUAAUGUUAUCAAAACCUAAUAUUUGGGUCUCUCAUUAAAUCACUAACGAUUAUUUUUUUAUUGACAUAAUAAUAAAUUUAGUCUCUUAAUGUUUACAGAUUUUAUAGUUCAGUCUUAAAUUUAACAAAUUUAACUUUAACUUUACACAUUCUAUUAAUUUUGUCUUGAUUCUUAAAAAUUAAAAAAUAAAAAAUUUAUUUUUCAAUAAAAAUAUAUAAAAUAUUUAUGAAUAAAUGAAUACUUUUUUCUAACAUAAAAUUUAAUUUUUAAAAUAAUAAUUUUAUUUAUUUAAGAGAAAAAAAACUAUAAAGAAGACCUAUGCAGAUUCACUUGUUCAUUUUGAGUUGAAAACUACAGUAAGUCAAAAAUGAUGAAAAUUGAUGUUUUUAAGUUAUCCAAAGCAGGUAUUGGCUUUGAAUUAUGUUUAUAGAUGAAAAACCAUACCGACAACUAUACAACCAACUCCUAAUUUGAUUGCAUGAAAAUAGAUGAUGUGGAAAUUGAUGAGUUUUAAGUAAAAAUUAUUUGUGCUAGUGAUUGGAGACGAAAGUAGUGCUCAACAUUUGACAAAUUUGAUGAGAACUGAAGAGCUAGACAUAUAAUAAAAUUUAUUAUUUAUAAAAUAAACUAAAAAAAAAGUUUGGAGCUGAUUUGUGUUGUUAGUGGGUUUCUUUUUAAAAAUAUAUAUUAUUUAUAAAAAUAUUAUUUUAAUAAAUAAAUUACAUGUAAAAAAAAUUGAUAAAAAUGGGUGUUUAUUUAUUUAUAAUUUUAUACGUUUCCUUUUUCGAAAAAUAAAAUUUUAAAUUUAAAAAAAAAUGGUAAAUUAUAACAAAGACAACACUGACUAGGAGAAACUAUGCCCGAUGAAGACUACUCGGAGAGGCCCCUGAACUCUCGAACAAUAAAAUCUGCUGCAGAUCAGCUGAAGCCCUCCCUAGAAAAUGGAAACCAAUCGGAUUGCAGUUCGUACUUCUCGCUAGAGAAUCCGCAGGCAGGUUGACUUCACCAUAACCAUGCUAGAUCACCACAUUCCAUUGUCUGGUAAGGAAACCUCGAAUUCGCUGGACCAAGACAACCACGACAUUCCUAAAGCCCCGUUCUAGUAACAGUCGCAACCCAUCUAGGGUCGACUAGAUUGUGUAAAACUAAGGACUAAAUUUGUUGAAUUUUUUAAAAUUACGACUAAAUUGAUUGAAUCUAUAAACAUUAAAGAGCUAAAUUUAUUAUACCAAUAGCCAGGUCACCGUUAGUGAUUUAACUGAUGAGUGAGCAGAAUAUUAAAUUUUGAUAAUGUCAGUGACUAAAAUAUAAAGUUUUAAACUUGAGUUACCAAAACAGGAACACACUAAUAGUUGGGUGACUAUUUUUAUAAUUUACCCGCUGAUGGCAUAUGUACAUUGUACAACAGGACCAUUUCCAGUGGAAUGGUCAUAAUAAAUAAUGGCAUUUCAUUGUAUAUACACGUACCUAAUGUUACACACCACAGCAAAAAGACAUUUCAUGUCUCGUCUGGCGUUGGCUCGAGAAUUACCGGGAUCUUCUCCUUAUGAUCACCGCGCAACACCUCGACGGUAACCUGCGAGAAAUAAGAUAAUGGAAAAAAUCUACACUUCAAAAACAUCUGAAGAAUAUUCUAGGAAUAUACAGGCAGUAUUUGAUUAUAUACCUUAUCACCAACUUUACAUUGAUCAAGAAUUCUGUACAAGUCGCUGCCAUUGGUGACCUUCUUUCCGUUAACAGAAGUUAUUAUAUCACCCAAUACGAGUCUACCAUAAGCAUCACGCUUUGUUGGUCGCAGACCCUGUUAUAUGCUAAAGGUUAGCUGUCAAUAGAAAAUAUGAAAAGCUUCAACAUGUUGUUGAAAUGUAACAAUCUUCAAAAAGAAAAGGUGAAAGUCUGAUGCAGAAAUUUUAUACCGCCUUGCCGGCUGGACCAUUCGCAGGAGCAUCUAAGACAAGCACACCACUUACUCCCAACUGCUCGACAGAUUGGUCGGGUGCAAAUUUAAUCCCUAAAAUUGGUCUUGUCACCUUCCCGAACUUCACCAACUGAUCAACGAUGCCACUAACCUGGACAUGUAGGAAUAGCGAGAUGAAUUUGGAAAGAAAACGAAACAAUAUAAAUUCUUCCAUCUCAAACGAAUCAAGGUCUAUGUAAUACUCACUGUGUCAACUGGAAUCGAGAAUCCAACACCGGAAUUUGCACCAGAAGGAGAAUAUAUAGCGGUGUUUAUCCCGAUAAGGUUUCCUGAACUAUCUAGGAGUGGCCCUCCACUAUUACCAGGAUUAAUAGCAGCAUCUGUCUGUAUAACAUCUUGAAUUGGGCGACCUGUAGCCGCAGAACUGAUCUCUCUGCGAAGCCCACUAUAGGUAAAUAUAAAAGAAGCAUUAGCAACUGUAAUUCAUAUAAAAAAGAGCAAUAGGAGAAAACUUAAGUAUGAUAUAUCAGUAAAAAAUCGUUGGUCUUUGAUACCUGAUAACACCAGUUGUAAGAGUGUGAUCAAGUCCAAACUGCAAGGACACGAAAAAGAAAAAUCAGAAAUCCACUCAAACAAGUAAUCAAAGAGCUAAAAGAAUAGGAGUAAAAGCACACGAUCAUUAACUCUUGAUCAGGCACUUAAAACCAUAGUGAGGGCGGCACUCUUAUUAAUCAAAUUCAUCUAUGUUGCUUCGACACUUUUAUUUCUCUUUAAGUGUUUGUGUCUUGAUGCAUAUCCGUACUUGGGUACGGAGAUAUGACUCUCCAAAGACAUGGAAAAGCUUCAAAAAAAUUCAAAUGCCCGUGUUGGACACAUACUUAUAUCCGACACUUUAUUAUGCAAGCAUAUCGAAAAGCAACCUCUUUUCCAUGCCAAUCCUAUUAAACAUCAUAAUAAAUGUGUUCGAAGAGAAUGGAUAAACGGAAAUAUGAUGUAUCAGAAAAUAAAAAAUAAGAUAUAUGAUGAAGGAAAUGUAUAAGAUAUUUAACGACCUGCAUAUAUAAGUAUGUUCAUAUCCUUGAUAUCACUACAUACAGUCUCCAUUGAAGUGAAACACAUAAAGUACUCACCACACAGGUAUAGGUCAUAUUCUACAAGUAUAAACAUGUACUCACCGGGUUACCGAUAGCAUAUACUUUCUGGCCAACAAGUAAAUCUGCAGAGACACCAAUAGGUAUAGGUCUUAGUUUGUCUUUGGGGGCAUCAACACGCAAUACAGCUACAUCCUUGUCUUGGUCGAAUCCAACAACUUUUGCAUCAUACGUCGUCUGGUCCGCAAAAGUAACCCUGCAAAUAAUGAGCACCAAUAUAAGAUUUCGUAUAUCAAGAACAAGAAGCUUUAAAACAUCUUUAUCCUUUAUAUCCAUAUUGCCAAAGGUCAGGUAGUUAACGCCGCUAACUCCUGUUUCUUCAUAUAUGAUUACUUUCAAGACUUAGAAACAAUCAAAAUAGCAACUCAACCAAGCUCAAUACCUCCAAAUAAAUGGUGUAUUUAUUUCCUCAAAUUUAUUUAAUGCACUAUCCCGUUGCUCUAACAAAACAAAAAGAUACCAAGAACCAGAUGUUUAUUCGUCAUGCAUCGCAUUCUACUCCUAUGUUAAUCGAACCCAUGAAUGAGUGCUAGAAACAAAUAUGUUUCUAACAUGAGUAUAUUCAAAAUUUCCAACUUUUUUCACAUUAUUGGAGGAUCAUACCCUAUAACAACAUCCGAAUGGCAUCGGAUACAGGUAACUUAAGGAAAUGAAGAGUCCAGAUAAACAUAAAUUAGCCCUAAACGAUCUUUUCAUAUUUUUCCAUGCUUAGAUAACCAAAUAGAUUAUAUAGGUUCAUGCUUUUCCAAUACAUUCAUUCCAAACACUGAAAAUAACAUCCAUAUUCCAUAAUGAUGUGAAUUGAUAUCAUCUAAAAGUAUUUCCAUUUCCAUUCUGUAGUUAUUCAAUCCCAAUAAUUUACAAGAAUAACAGGAAAUAAUAAAACUAAUAAAAGAACUAACUUGAGAUCAGAAGCACCACGGAUCACAUGAUAAUUGGUAACAAUGUGACCAUCUGUGUCCCAAACGAAACCCGACCCCGAUCCUUGUGGCACCUCCAGCACAUCCAACGUAAAAGCAUCCUGCCUGAAAAAAGAAGCCCGUUACCCAAAAAAAAGGGGAAAUACAAACUACGCAGCAGCAAAUUGAAUAAGAAAGCUUAAAAAUGAAUGACGGAAAAUUCAAAAUUGAAUUAACCUGACGGCGAGAUUGGUGAUAUAAACAACAGAGGGAGUGUUCUCUUGAAAAAGACGAACCGUAGCCAACUCAUCGGACUGUAAUUUCCGGGGAGGGGUCACCACAAAGGCCGAGGCGGCUCCCACAUCGGUUACGAAUAUCGAGAAAGAUAGAGCAAGCGAAGUGCAGAGAAUAAAGAAGGAAUCGAAAGCUAAAGAAACUAUGCAACUAUUACUAGAAUUAUUGUUAGAACUGUUUUUGGAUUGAUUGAAAAUGAGACUGUGGAGAGAAGGAAGAGAGAGUUUCCUGGUUGGAAAGAGAAAAGAAGGUUUAGAAGUGGAUGUGAGAGAGAGGGGAGGAAGCUUUGGAUUUCUGUUUGGGGAGCGAGAAAAUGGGGAGGAAAGUGUGGACAGGAGUGAAUAAGCUGCCAUCUCUUUGCUGACUGGUUUAGACAACUCACUGCAAUUUUAUUAUGGUUAUUCUUUGAAAAAUUUUCCAUGGCCGAACGAAAGAGUACUGAAUUUUAAGGGGACUUUUUUUGACCACAAAGAAAGUAUUUUAUUGUGUACUCGCUUAAUAGAUUUUUAUUUUUAUUUUUAAUUAAUAUUUAAAAAUAAUUUAAAUAUUAAUUUGAAUCUAAUAAGUGUCUUUCUUGAACAUUCUUCGAUUAAAAAGUACUAAAUCCACAUUCACUUAUUCGAUUUUUCCUUUUAAGUAAUCCGUUAUUGAUUGAUUAAUGAAAUAAAUGUGUCAAUUUUUUAAAUUCACAUAAUAACAAAUUUAAUUUAUAAUAUUUAUACAUUGAAUUAAUUUAAGUUUAAUUUUAAAAAAAUUAGUCAUCAAUAUUUACAUAUUAUCUACUUUAUUCUAUUUUUUACAUGAAAAUGUAAUUCAAUAGAUAAAAAUAAAAAAAAAACAAAAAUAUUAUUAAACUAGACAAUCCUCAAAUACAUUGAUUUUCUUGUACUAAUUCAUUAUUUGUUAGGUUAAGUUGAGCGCCAUUAAUUAAGCAAAUCAAAGCUUAUUUUUGUAAGUUAUUAGAGUAACAAUUGGGUUGAAUUAAUAAAGUAGAUAUAUUUUUUUUAUUUUUAAGCAAUUAAAUUGGUAAUUUUUCAAAUUUUGUGUUGUUUUAUUUAUUUCUUUCUUUCUUUUUUUACUUAAUCAAACACAUGGAUAAUGUCAGAAAAUGUUACAACGAAAAAGUAAAAAUGUAAAAGAUAAAAUUACAUAAUGUGUAAAAGAGUUCAAUUUUUAAAAUUAGAACUAAAUUGACAUAAUUCAUAAAUGACAAAAUAACUUAAUAGCUCUGAUGGUACUAAUUCAUUAUUUGUUAGGUUAAACUGACCGUCAUUGAAUAAGCAAAUCAAAGCUUUUUUUUUUUUAAGUAGUUAGACUUACAAUUGGAUUGAAUUAAUGAAGUAGAUAUUUUUUUCAAGCAAUUAAAUUGUCUAUUUUCCAAAUUUUGGGUUGUUUUAUUUAUUUAUUUUACUGAAUCAAACACAUGGAUAACGUCAGAAAUGGUUACAACAAAAAGUAAAACUGGAAAAGAUCAAAUUACACAAUGUAUAAAUGUCGAGGAUUCAAUUUUUAGAAUCAAAACUAAAUUGGCACAAUGUACAAAUGUCAAGGGUUAAAAUUGUUAUUAUGUCAAUUUUAAAAGCUAACACAUCAACUUCCCAUUAGUUAUUUAACUGCCUGUAACAAAAAAAGAAAAAUCAAAUGGAUGACCAUUUUGCAACUUUUCAUAAUUAGGUGACUAAAAAAGAAACUUCCUAAUAGUUAGAUGACCACAUGUGUAGUUUACCCUUAAAUUUAAAAUUAAUUAUAAAUAUCAUUUUAGUUUGAAGAAUUUUAAAUCUAUCUCAAAUUCAUCUUUCAACUUAAAAUUAAAUUCAAAAUUUUUAAUAUUUAUAUUGCUAUUGUUUUCAUGUAAAUUAUAUAUUUAUUAAAUAUAAAUAUGUUUAUACUUCUAUGUCUUAAUUCAAUUGGAAAUUAUUAGAAUUAUUUAUUUUUAUAAAGAGUGAAUAUUAUUUUAAAAAUAUUUUAAUUUUUUUAUAUUUUUAUAUAAAAUGCAGAACAUAUAUCAUCACAAUUGAACACAUAUUUAAUAUUUAUAUUCAUAUUUACAAAUUAUUCCUAUAAUAUUUAUGCAUAAAGAUACUUUAUAUGAUUUCAGAAAAUGUAUAUAAAGAUACUUUAUAUCAACUUUUUUAAUAAUUAAAGGCGGGAGUCGAGAUAUUAGGAAUUAAAUCCAAACUUUCAGACCAUAAUAUCAAUGUUUUUUUGCUACCAAACUAAAUGAUUGUUGAUUACUCUAUAUCAAAUUUUAAUUAUUUUAUCUUUUAGAAAACUCUUUAAAUGCAUGCAUAUUUAAAGGUGAACAAAAUUUGUGAAAAUUCGAGAUAAAGACAUAUCCACCCAACAACUAAUUGCUAGGAUGAUAGGUCAGUGAUAC
rnacentral:lncRNA from 1 species